rnacentral:lncRNA from 1 species
UCUUUUUCGCUUUUAUGAUUUCUUUAGACUUUCUAAAUUAAUCACAACACUUAAUUAAUCCAAUUAAUUAUUUCCAUCAUCCAUUAAUUACUCACUACAAGAGUGUAUCGGUGUACAAUCAUUUUAGGUUCUAAUUAGCAAGGCAGUGAGGUGAUUGACAUCAAUUCAAUUGAUUAUAUUUAAUCCAAUCACUUAGUGAAUUAAAACUUUAUUUUAAUUCACCUUUCUUCUUUGAUGACUACAUUUAAUCAUCUAGAAGAACUCACAAGCUAUGAGUGACAUCUAACCAUAUGUCAUAGCUACCCAAGCUAAUGUAGAAGUUGUUCGGAGAACUUAUUCAGUUGGAAUUACAAUGUAAUUCGAUCCUUCUCUAAAACAAUACUCUCAAUCACAUUACUAGGGUAUGGAUAUAUUAUGUCAAACCCCUAAUGUGAUUAUUCCUUCUUAUAUGAUUCAAGUGAGUCGUAUAGGAACGCUUUCCUUUAGUACGCUCGAUACUUCGGCCGAAGAUUCCCGAAUCAUAUCUUAGAGUAUUCUUCCUCUCUAAUCGAGGAUUAGAGAUUCCUUGUUGCGCAUUCACUUGCCUUCAUGAUUAAGUGGCUUAACCCCAAUUAUGCCGUGGACAUCCGCGAAUGGGGUG